GCCCCUCCCUCUAAAAGCACUCUGUGUGGGGAAGAUGAGAGCCAGAGCAAAGCUCAGAGGAACCAACCUGCACCUGGAUCUGGAUCUGGAUCUGGACCUGGACCUGGAUCCAGCUGUGUGUCCUUCAGGAGUGACUUCUCAAAGAGUCAUCCUCCUGACUUCAAAUCCAUCAGUUCAGCAGUGGAACAAGUGGACCUGCAGAGCUCAGAGACUCCCAGUGGUCCGUCUGUCCAGCAGCAUCAAAC